UCUAAAUAAAGCUCAACUCUUAUAUCCAACUAGACCGCAUCAGUGUCAUUUAUGCAUAAGCCAAGUAUGAAGAAUAAUAAAGAUUAGCAACUUGCAUAAAGCUACUGUUUCAUCAGAAUGCCAACCACCACCUGGAUAACAUUAAAAAAAGCAAGUAAAACAGGAAAAGGAGAUUGGCUGACACGGACAAAAUUAUGGCAAUUUCCACAUUAAGACAUCAAUGGCUUUAUCUUUUAUUACUCCUUAAUAAAGGAAAAACAGCAAUCUUAACGCAACACAGAAACAUUCUUAAGAAAACACGAUUCAGUAGUUAAAUGACUUCUCUUUCCAUUUCACAAAACUACUCUUUUUUCCUCUUCAUAAUGUCGUGAGAAAAAGGGGAAUGCCGAUCAGAAAGCACUCUGUGGCAACUUCUCAUGCUUAACUUACAGAUUAAUAGCAGCAUUAUCGAUACCUGAUCCUCACAACAUAUAAGCUUGGCUAGACAUUGCAGUUUUUAAUAACAAGAAUUGUUAGAUAAAUGUUAAUGCGACUGGCCUGGAGUCACUACGUAAAUAGAAAUUCACCUUUGGUGGAGGGAUUCCUAGGUUUACAAACCCUAAGCACCUGUCCAUACUUCACUACGUAAAGAAUUGGCUAACGAAAUUCCACUCAAGGGCUUUCAAAUUUCUCUGAUUUAAAUUCCUGUCACCAAAAUGUAUGAUGUUAUACAAAUUCUAGCAAGGGAAUUGGCUCCUGUUCAGCAGUUCUUAUUGUCAUACUAGUUAGUGCACGAGGCCACAUUACUAUCCCCAAAUUAUAGUUCAUUAUGCAACUUCCCCACAUUCUGAUACUUUGGACAAAAGAUUAUGCUGUCGACAUUCUGUUGCCAAAUACCCAUUUCUGUCUCACAGCUACAUUUGCUAUCGAGUCAAUAUUCAAACCAAUAUCUCAUGUGAAUGAAUUCCUUUCCCUGGCUAGACCUCAUAAAACUACUAAUACUCUUAUCUGUGCCUUUGUACAUUUGUAUCCUACUAAAUCAUAUAUGUAAAGUCUAGCAAGAAAGGUCAGUCAUCAACAAACUAUUAAAACCUGUAGAAAAAUAUGAGAAGUAUCACACAUAAUACAUGCAUUCCAUAAAAUUUAAAGAAUAAAACAAAACAGUGGUACAAAACCUUUUGGUAAGCCUCCUCUUGCCAGUCACCCCCGGCCGAAUGCCCCGUUUGGGCAGAGCUAUCAGUAGACACUACAAAAGUAGAAGAAUAACUCUUCAUGGACUGUGUUGACUGUGGAACUGAAGACUGUUGAUUUUGUUGGAGACCAGCUAGAGGAGCUGGUUGCAUUGAUGGCGGCUGCAUGACAGAAGAUGUUUGGAGGACAGACUGCCGAGAAGCCUGCAGCUGAGUUGGCUGUAGCAUAUUCUGUUGCUGCUGUUGCUGCUGCUGUUGUGGAAUNNNNNNNNNNNNNNNNNNNNNNNNNNNNNNNNNNNNNNNNNNNNNNNNNNNNNNNNNNNNNNNNNNNNNNNNNNNNNNNNNNNNNNNNNNNNNNNNNNNNGUAAAUAUACUGCUGUGAAUUCUGAGACUGUUGUGUUGCUGUAGGGAAACCAUCUGUUGCCUUAGCUUGAAGUUGCUGAGAAUUUACGAACAUGUUGCUAUUGAUACCUUGGCCCAUUGAGUUCCCCAGUGAGUUCUGAGCAACACUGGGCAUAUUUUGCAUGUUGUUGUUUUGUCCAAUAGUAUUCGGGAUGGAAGAUUGGUUCAAGCCAGAGACAGAUGGCAAUGUAGACAAUAGACUGGCUGAAGCCUGAACUUCAGAUGGAACAUUAUUCUGAAUAUUCUGAACCAAUAACUGUUGACGUGCUUGAGGCUGAUUCACAGCUAAGGAAUUAGGAAUUGAUUGGCUUUGAUUUUGAAUUUGUGACUGCAUAACUUGAGAUGACAUACAAUAUAUACAAGUCAUGUUAGUCGAUCAAGAAACCAACCAAUUCAGUACAGCGGCAUUAACUACAAAUAGCACGAAGAGACAAUGAAUGAGAGAUAAAUGCACCACAAGUACGACCUUAGACCAUUAUGUAUUCCAACUUGAAAUUUUCUGAGCAAGUGAUACUGGAUGGAUAAUGGACAUGCAAACACAGACAAACAAUGACCACUCAUUUUCUUUUCAACAAAUACUAAAUAAAAGUCUUUGUGAAAUUUAUGUACUUGAAUUGAUCUUGAAAUUUACAAAAAUAAAUAAAUAAAGGACAAAGGUAAUCAUCUUUCAAGCACACAUCUUCUGAUGCCAUAGGAGACUCACUUUAACAAAGAAGAAAGAUAAAAUUUGAGGCCAAAAAAGUGGGAGGAAGUUACAAAUGAUGCAAGCAGUUGUCCCUUUCUAGCAAAACUUAAGUCUUGCUGCCACUCUUUGAAAAACUUGCUCUUCACAAAUGCAAAUCUAAUUCUACUGAUGAAACAAACUGAUUUUUAGUUCUUUAAUCAAUAUAUUACAAAUUUAAAAGGGAUAUUCAAAUGUGCCACUGCCCAUGGUAUAAACGUGCAUUUGAGGUUACAAAUGAGCAAGAUUGGAAAAAAUUUAUUAAAUUCAGGUUACUACAAUGAAAAUCCACAAGCAGCAUGGCUUGUAGUGAGUAUACAUGUGUACUGUGUAAAGCCCAGUAAAAGCAACAACAGGGCAAGUCCUAAAAUGUGUUAUGCUAAUGCACUUAAGUCCUAAAUUUUCAUUUUGUGCAUUUAAGCAUAAAACUUGUAAAUGUCGAUGCCCUUUAGUCAUUCCAUUAACUCCGUCAAUUUUAAGUCGGAUGGAAGAUUUCACAUGGCUUUCUUUUACGGUUUUCUUAAGCCAAAGUGGCUGUUGAUAUUAUAAAAAAAAAGGCCACCUAGAUUUUCUGCCCACUAAAACCUAAUGGAGCCAACAGAGCUAACAGAAGACCUAAAGUAAAUGACUAUCACAAGUCUUAGGACUUAAGUGCACAAAAUAAAAGUUUUAGGACUCAAAUGCCUCUAUCAUAACAAGUGUCAAGACUCCUGUUGUAAUGUCCCCCAAAAACUAUGUAUACGAAAAAAUAGUACAAUUACAUAAAUGAAUAAACACUAUAUGAGGGGAUAACGAAACGAAAAUUAUAAUUCCUACAUUAAUGAUACCAAAUAACAGGAACUUAAGUCGUACCCGGGUCAUUACUACUAUUCCCAGCAGGGUUAGAUGGCAAAGCAUUAGGUAUGGUAUUCUGAGACUUUGUCUCCAUUGUCAGCAUCUUCAAAGAUAUCUUCCUUAGAUAAUCGGACUAAAAGGGAAAGGAAGCAGAAAUCACUUCAUCACUCAAUCAAAUUGAAAAGAAAAUGAAGCAUAUAUAAAACCUUAGCAAAAUAUUACAGCAAUGAGUAAACCUAAUUUCCAUGGGGCAAAGCUAAACGUAAAUAUUUAACAGUUCCAGUUACUAUAUGGAUGCAUGCAUGAAUGAUAAAAAUUAUCAACAAAUUAUGCACAUAAAAGAACGCUUCUCUUAAUUUUAAGCACAAGCCUAUCCAGUUUGUUUAUGCAUCCUCUAUCCACAUAGAAACUUCAUACCAAUUAAUCACAAAAGGCAUGGACAUCAUAUAAUACCUGGCUUAUUGCAGCAGUGUAAAUUUUUUCCUCCAUUCGCAUGGCAAUUUUCUUGAGUUCUUGCAAACCCUCUGGACCAGAAACAGGAAGGUGUCUCUUCAAGGCCUCCAUUCUGCAUAUCAAAAGAGAUUUGCACUUGAUACGAAAUUCUUCUUACCAAUAAUUUUUUCUUUCCUCAACGAUAAAUAAGAUUUCACUAAGAAGGUACCAAAGGGGUGGCGCCCCUAACAGAAUGGCUUUAGGUAGAAGCCACCCAUAAACAAAUUCAUGGACAAAAGACUUUUUUUAACAUUUCCAACAAACUAGACAUAUGAAACUGGACUUUCCUGCUACCAAAAGUGAGGAGUGUACAACCAAUUAUCCCUAAAAAGAAUCCCACAAGUAUUCAAUUCCUUGAAAUGCUCUUUUGUUCCUCUCUCUCUCUCCAAAUGAGCCUAAAAAAAAGGAGAAAUGGUAAUCACUCUCUUUCCGAGCCACAAACUGAAAGCCCCUCUCCAAGCCCAAAUUUCAUGUUGCAAUGUUCACUCCCAAUAUUGCAAAAACUGCAGCCCAGAAUCUUUCUGGUGCAGGUACAAUGUCAAAUUGAGUGAUUCACGCUCUCUUCUUCAGUCUUUGCACAAAAAACACCCGUUAGCCUGUACUUUCCCCUCCACUGAGCAUUAUCCAAAGUAAGAAUACAUCCCCAAGCAUCUCAAGCAAAAAACGAAGCUUUCAAUGGGACCNNNNNNNNNNNNNNNNNNNNNNNNNNNNNNNNNNNNNNNNNNNNNNNNNNNNNNNNNNNNNNNNNNNNNNNNNNNNNNNNNNNNNNNNNNNNNNNNNNNNUCAGAAUUAAGUAUUUGCCUCCAAAACCCCAGUCGUCUAUUUUUGCUACCAUCCCAGAAAAUUCUUUCAGAAAAGAACUAGAUAUGGCAGAAAUGCGAAAUCGUCUCAAAAAUCUACAAAAGGACAAAUGAAAAGAAAAAAUGCUUACAAAAUCAAGUUCAAUUGUUAUAAAAGAAAGGCCAAAUUAGAUGAUGUUAUCAAAUCCGCUAGAAUCUUUUCUAAAGGAUUUAGGUACUCAGAAACAACCUAAACCUGCUAUUCAACAGCCUAAUCCUGCCAUUUCAAAUGAUUAGAUUCUGCUCCCAGUCGAACAAACUGUUCCUACCACUUCUGAUACCGAAUCAGAAUCAGUAUCAUUUUCCUCCUCUUCAUCCUUUUUAAUUCCUGAUGUUGAUUCCCUUCUUGUUGCAUCAAUAAAUUCAUCAAUAUUCAUGGCUGAUCCUCCAGAUCAGGAUAUGGAAUCAAAUUAUUCCGAGCCAGAGAUUGUUCAGAACAAUCCGGGACACCAUGUAUCAAUGGCUUCAAAACAGUUUUUCACCAUAGAUGACAUCCCCUACCACAAAUAGCUAGAAAGACUCGAAGAGUUUCAUACUUGGUUGAACACUCAAUCCAUUACCAAUCAUGAUAUGAAUGAUGUCAUUUACAAAUUUGUCACAAGGUUCAUGGGAAGCCUUAAACUUUGGUGGAAAUCUGUGUCAGAACAAGACCAAAUUCAUUUUCUAAUGUCACCUGAUUUUAGCCAUGUCAUCACUCUCUUAUAUCAUUUCUUUGUGGGAAAACCCACUGAUCUCAUAGAAAUGAAAAUGAGAGAAUUUUUCGAAAGAAAAUGUUGCUCCCUUCAGAAGAAAUAUCUUGAUAAGCAUUAUCGAGAAAUGCUUCAACUUUUUUAUCAGAUUGGGGCUGAUCUAAAUCUGAAACAUGUUUUCCUGACUUUCAUCCCUAAAGAACUAUCUUAGAUGGUUGAAAGAUCUUUUUUUGGAAGAUAGAGGAGAGUACAAGAUAUUCCCUUGGGAGAAAUACAACAAGAAAUCCAUCUGUGUCUUGAAGAAUUGUGCCUGAAGUGCUAGAUGGUCCGUACCUACAUCAUAGAUGACAGAGAACUCGAGACAGCUUGCUCUCGCCAAAAUUUAAAGAUCAAAUAUUCCAAGAAAGACUGUGAUGGUACUUGCGGGAAGUCUUCUCUAAAGAAGAAACACUUUAAGAAGUUCUGGUUAAAGAAAUCCAAACAUGGCCACAAGCACUUCCAAAGAAAGAAGAAAUUGCGAUACCUUCGCAAGAGGAAAGAUCGCACGAGCCAUAAAAAAUCAAAUCACUGCUUUAUCUGCAACCAGAAAGGGCAUUUUGCCAAAAAUUGCCCCAAGCUAGAAAAGGUCAGCAUCAUUUGAUACAUCAAAUUAAGAAUGAAACAGGUAUUUAUCUUUAAAAUGAUGAUAUCGAAUCAUUAUUCUCUGUUGAUGAAAAAUCAGGUGAACAAACUUUUUGUGUCAUUCCAUGUUACCCCACUUCUAGUGAAAUUGAGUCAAAUUCUAAGUUUGAAAAUAUUUUUCAUAUAUCAUCUACAUCUCCAAAACCAAGCUUUGACAUAUUUUCGAGCUAGACUCAUUAUCCCCAUUUCCCUGUAAAAAUCCUUACCUUAAAGUUUGUCAAACCAAUUACUAUCAUUGCUCUCAUCGAUACUAGAGCAAGUUGUUCAAUAUUUGACACCAAAGUUCUUCAUGAAGAAUUCUGGACUCUUUAUAUCCGAUAUUUCAAUUCUGUCUCAGGAGAUACUUUCUCCACGAAUGUCAGAACCACCCCCAUAACUGUCCAGUUCUUCGCCUAGUGUUCAAUAUCCACAAAGAUCUUUGGAUCUAGUCUUCCCAACAAAGACUUAAUCAUUGGUAGGGACAUCAUGACUCAAAUUUCUCAACUUUGAAUCAUUCCUGGAAAAGAUCUUAGGUAUAAAGAUCAAUUUUCUGAGUUCGUCAAUAUUCAGAAACUCUUUUCUAUUCAAAUGAGUUUAUUAGAUCCAAUCAUGUAAAAAUUAUUGGAAUCUUGUUCAGAAUCCCAUUAUGAAUUCGCUCAGAAAUGUUCUCAUCCUCUAUUAGAAAAUCCAAAGUUUUUUGUUCGUCUUCCAUUCAAAAAGAAUGAAGACAUCAAUCCAACAAAGGCGAGUCAUAUGGGAAUGAAGCCAGAACACUUGGCUUUAGCUCAAAGGGAAUGCUCAGAACUAUUGUAGUAAGGCCUUAUUGAAACCUCCAAUUCUCAAUGGGCUUGUAAAGCAUUUUAUGUCAAUAAGUGUGCCGAGCAAAACAAGGGAAAAAUGAGGCUAGUGAUCAACUAUCAACCCCUCAACAUUUUUUUCCAAUAUAAUAAAUUCCCUUUACCCUCCAGAGAUUCCCUCUUUAUUGGUCUAACCAAUGCCCACAUUUAUUCCAAAUUUGACCUCUUAUCGCCUAUAAAAAGUGAGGAGGGUGUAAUGUGUUGGGCAGAAUCCCUUGAAGUAAAGUGUGUGCUUUGUGAAAAAAAACCUCUCUAUGGCUUUCUAAAUUCAUCUUCUUCUCCAGCCCGAUAGAAUCCUCCAAGAAAUGCAGCUUGGGUAGGUUAAAAACGUUUCUAUCCUAACAUCUUUGAGUGUCUCUAGACUCUGAACUAAAGGGCUGAGUGGUGUUUUACUAAAAGACUGUCCCUGAAGGGCUUGAACGGGUUGUUCACCCACUGUGGAAUGCAUACCUAUAGAAAAUUUACUCUCCUUCCCCGAUUCUAAGUCUAGGACCAAUGAUCAAAUAUUUGAUAUUUUCACUAAGUCUUUUUAGGCAGUAGUAAAGUUAAGUAUAUUUAUAACAAGUUAGGCAUGCUCCAUCCUGAGAGAGAGUGUUAAAGUAUCAGAGGAUUAUUAUAGUUAUUAACACUAAGAAGGUUAUUAUAAUCAUCUGGGAUACACAUGAUAACUAUUCUUUUUCUUUGUUUUUCUAUCUUUCUAUUUCCAGAAACAAGUUUGGAAUAAAAAAUGUGUUUAUCCAUUUGAUAAUGUAAUUUCAUAUUUCUAUUUCUAAAAUAAAUUUUAACUCCAGAAAUAGGUUGGAAUAGUUUAAGGACCAAAUUGAGCCGAUCGAAAGUUCAGGGACCAAAUCAGACAUUUAUCAAAUAGUUCAUGGAUCAAAUUGAGCCGAUCGAAAGUUCAGGGACCAAAUCGGAUAUUUAUCAAUAGUUCAAGGACCAAAUUGAGCCGAUCGAAAGUUCAUGGACCAAAUUGCACAUUGAGUAAUAGCAUAGGGACCAUUUGUGACAUUUUCCCUAAAUUUUAUGAUUGUAAAAUACAUAUUUUUGCUCAGAAAAAGAAUCCAAAAUUUGGUAACAUUUCUAUUCCUCUAUUUUUAUGUUCUUUUGUUCCCCGACAAAAUCCACUUCAAGCUCUUAUUUGAAAAAUUAAUGACAUUUCAGAUCCUUAUUUAAAGCAAUGUCCACUUUAACAAGAAAAUAAUUAUACUUCAAGCCCUUAUCAAGAAAACUAUGUCUAAAUAGAAAUUGUUCCCGUUAACAUAAAUGUUAUCAAAUACCACCGAAAUGGCAAGAAAUAAAUUUAUGAAACAGAAUGUUUAUCAUUCGACCCUAAGUCUUAUUUAACUAAUAAUAAAAGUGCGAGUGGCAAACAUUAAUCAGUUUGUAUGCUCUCCUCUUUUGUCCCCUAUCAAUUUCUACACUAAGAAAGAAGAAAAACUUUAAUAUAGUAGAUGACAACUACUAAUAACAGCAGCGCCCAAGCUGCAUUCCGGAGUUGGAUGUUGGAACGCCUUUGAUGAGUCUGCAGUUGCCAAGGAAGCUGCUGCUUAGCCUGCUGUAGCUGCUGCUGCAGAAGCUGUUGUUUGAGUUGCUGCUGCAUUUGAGGUUGCUGAUAUUGUUGCUUAAGCUGCUGUGUCUGUAGCAUCUGUUGUUCCUGUUGCUGUUUGAGAGGCUGACAUUGAAGCAUAUUGGAAUUAGACUGAUGUUUGUUGACAUUUGAUUGUAACAUGUAUACCCCACCCUGUUGCUGCAUGGUGCUCAUAUUCACCUGUUGUGGAGCAACAGGAUUCUGCUGCAUAGAUCCCAUACCAAUCACCUGCAUUGUACUCGAGGCAUUACCUGUUCCAGAGUCCAUAUUGGAAUUCGGCUGUAGGGAAUCAAUCAUGGUUUGCUGUGCAUUUGAAACCCCAGACAAAGACAUGGAAUAAUGAUUCAAAUUUCCCAUAUUGUUCUGCUGCAUUGAUGCUACAGAACCUUGUAAAUUCAUUGAUUCUAAUUGAGGGUUCAUUUGAUUUUCAUGUGACUGUACUUGAGUAGUUUGAGGUUGCAAUUGCUGCUGCUGCUGCUGCUGCUGCAUUGAGUGCACAUGAGGAGGGGCAAGUUGCCCUUGCUGCAUAGCUACUUUCCUGGGCCUACUUGUGUUGAUAAAGUUUAUAAUCUGUUUCUCAAAACUAACCAGCUUCUCCUUGAAAGAAGGCACUAUAUCAGCUUUGUUAACGUGCAAAAUAGCAAUUACGCGCUCCAACAUCAAUUUAAAAUUUUUCAAUUUGUCAAGCUGAUCUGACUUUGGCUGUAGCGGAAGAGACUCAUGCUGCAAUGUAUAAGAAUAAAAUAUGAUAAGAAAGAGAUCAAAAAGGAUGAUAGACCAUUUAAAGAUUUAAAAAUCAAUUAUUAGUCUGCCUUUCUUAAGAAAUGUUUACUCCAUGUAACAAAUUAGGAAAGAAUCAAAAUUAAGCAAUAACUUUCUCGGAAUGUUCCCAAUAGCAGACUUCAUUCACAUACCUGCUGUAACUUCAUAGAGAUUUUCUGGUACAUCUCAUUCAAUUCAGGUAAAUAUGUGUCCCUCAUGGAUUUCAUCUGCAACAAAAAUAAGUAGUGUAUUGAUCAAUCCAAACUCCUCCCAGGUCGUUUUCUUCUACCAAUCAAAUAACAUAUAUCUUCCAAUACUUUAUUGAGAUAAAUAACUGCAGACACUCACAUUACCAGCAGACAACUUACAGUAAGUUCCACUGAUAAUAUUUCUCCAAGGCUAAUUAUCAUAUGAUCUAUACAUUUUUAGCUACAAUCAUCUUCCAAGAGCAAAGAAACAUGAAAUAAGGAACAGGAAGAAGAAUGAAAGAGAGGACAAAAUGACUUAGCAUUUUCGAAUUACUGGAAACAGAUAAUCACAUGUUAGUACUCACAAUAAAUAUCUAAAUAAAGUUCAACUCUUAUAUCAGACUAGACAGCAUCAGUGUCAUUUAUGCAUAAGCCAAAUAUGAAGAAUAAUAAAGAUUAGCAACUUGCAUAAAGCUACUGUUUCAUCAGAAUGCCAACCACCACCUGGAUAACAUUAAAAAAAGCAACUAAAACAGGAAAAGGAGAUUGACUGACACGGACAAAAUUAUGGCAAUUUCUUUUCUACAUUAAGACAUCAAUGGCUUUAUCUUUUAUUACUCCUUAAUAAAGGAAAAACAGCAAUCUUAACGCAACACAGAAACAUUCUUAAGAAAACACGAUUCAGUAGUUAAAUGACUUCUCUUUCCAUUUCACAAAACUACUCUUUUUCCCUCUUCAUAAUGUCGUGAGAAAAAGGGGAAUGCCGAUCAGAAACCACUCUGUGGCAACUUCUCAUGCUUAACUUACAGAUUAAUAGCAGCAUUAUCGAUACCUGAUCCUCACAACAUAUAAGCUUGGCUAGACAUUGCAGUUUUUAAUAACAAGAAUUGUUAGAUAAAUGUUAAUGCGACUGGCCUGGAGUCACUACGUAAAUAGAAAUUCACCUUUGGUGGAGGGAUUCCUAGGUUUACAAACCAUAAGCACCUGUCCAUACUACACUACGUAAAGAAUUGGCUAACGAAAUUCCACUCAAGGGCUUUCAAAUUUCUCUGAUUUAAAUUCCUGUCACCAAAAUGUAUGAUGUUAUACAAAUUCUAGCAAGGGAAUUGGCUCCUGUUCAGCAGUUCUUAUUGUCAUACUAGUUAGUGCACGAGGCCACAUUACUAUCCCCAAAUUAUAGUUCAUUAUGCAACUUCCCCACAUUCUGAUACUUUGGACAAAAGAUUA
rnacentral:lncRNA from 1 species